GUGAGUCUUAGCUUCUCUCUGCAUCUGUGAGGUCAUCUCCCUUUCUGUAGAGCAUAUGAUCUUUACUGAUGCACCUGCAUCUGGCUCAGACUUAGUCACCCAGCCCUGAAAUUAUAUCAUAUCACAGGUCAUUCUCUGAGUCUCUUAAUGUGAGGCCUUGAGAGAAAAAUCAACAUGCCUUCUGUUGGAUGAAGACCAAUCAGCAAGAUGGUGGUGAUUGUGGUACAGAGUCGUUGCAAGGAUCAAGUGAGUUGAAAUCCGUAAGGUGCUUGGGAGAAUGCCUGGCGCCUGGAAGCACUGUAUAUUCCAAAAAAGGAGAUAUAAACAUGACCAUAAAAGACAUGAAAAGAUGUUUAACCCCAUUAGUCAUCGUGGAAAUGCAAAUGAAAACCACCAUACAGACACUAGAGUGGUUUAAAUUUGAAUGACUUCCAACACCAAAUGCCAGACAGGACAUAGAGCAACUGGAUGUCUCAUGCUCACAGGCAGAAGGGAAAACUACUGUGUGUGACAGGAAGAUGGACUUACCCAACCUUCAGCAUUCUCAAUCUCUUGUCUAUUAACAUGUGUUUGAAACAUUAUGCAUUCAAAGCAAACAUCUGGGAGGAAGAUGGGAGAAGCCUUCUUGCCCCUGUUCUACAGAAGUAAUUGAAGUUCAUGACAUUCAAGCUCAUUCACCAGUAAAUGAAUUUGGGUCAUGCUUUAUGUCUGUUGUAAAUACAGUGAAAAUUUGCCUCUGUU
rnacentral:lncRNA from 1 species